rnacentral:rRNA from 1 species
UACGUAGGGCGCAAGCGUUAUCCGGAAUUAUUGGGCGUAAAGAGCUCGUAGGCGGUUUGUCGCGUCUGCCGUGAAAGUCCGGGGCUCAACUCCGGAUCUGCGGUGGGUACGGGCAGACUAGAGUGAUGUAGGGGAGACUGGAAUUCCUGGUGUAGCGGUGAAAUGCGCAGAUAUCAGGAGGAACACCGAUGGCGAAGGCAGGUCUCUGGGCAUUAACUGACGCUGAGGAACGAAAGCUAGGGGAGCAAACAGG